rnacentral:rRNA from 1 species
UCCUCCCUCUGGCGGCGUGCCUAAUACAUGCAAGUUGAGCGCUGAAGGUUGGUACUUGUACCAACUGGAUGAGCAGCGAACGGGUGAGUAACGCGUGGGGAAUCUGCCUUUGAGCGGGGGACAACAUUUGGAAACGAAUGCUAAUACCGCAUAAAAACUUUAAACACAAGUUUUAAGUUUGAAAGAUGCAAUUGCAUCACUCAAAGAUGAUCCCGCGUUGUAUUAGCUAGUUGGUGAGGUAAAGGCUCACCAAGGCGAUGAUACAUAGCCGACCUGAGAGGGGGAUCGGCCACAGUGGGACUGAGACACUGCCCAAACUCCUACGGGAGGCAGCAGUAGGGAAUCUUCGGCAAUGGACGAAAGUCUGACCGAGCAACGCCGCGUGAGUGAAGAAGGUUUUCGGAUCGUAAAACUCUGUUGGUAGAGAAGAACGUUGGUGAGAGUGGAAAGCUCAUCAAGUGACGGUAACUACCCAGAAAGGGACGGCUAACUACGUG